AGUGAACGCUGGCGGUAGGCCUAACACAUGCAAGUCGAACGGCAGCACAGUAAGAGCUUGCUCUUACGGGUGGCGAGUGGCGGACGGGCGAGGAAUACAUCGGAAUCUACUUUUUCGUGGGGGAUAACGUAGGGAAACUUACGCUAAUACCGCAUACGACCUACGGGUGAAAGCAGGGGAUCUUCGGACCUUGCGCGAUUGAAUGAGCCGAUGUCGGAUUAGCUAGUUGGCGGGGUAAAGGCCCACCAAGGCGACGAUCCGUAGCUGGUCUGAGAGGAUGAUCAGCCACACUGGAACUGAGACACGGUCCAGACUCCUACGGGAGGCAGCAGUGGGGAAUAUUGGACAAUGGGCGCAAGCCUGAUCCAGCCAUACCGCGUGGGUGAAGAAGGCCUUCGGGUUGUAAAGCCCUUUUGUUGGGAAAGAAAAGCAGCAGGUUAAUACCCCGCUGUUCUGACGGUACCCAAAGAAUAAGCACCGGCUAACCUCGUG
rnacentral:rRNA from 1 species